GGGGUAGGUCCGCACGGAGGCGCAACCCUUAUCCUUUGUUGCCAGCGCGUAAUGGUGGGAACUCAAAGGAGACUGCCGGUGAUAAACCGGAGGAAGGUGGGGAUGACGUCAAGUCAUCAUGGCCCUUACGAGUAGGGCUACACACGUGCUACAAUGGCAGAUACAAAGAGAAGCGACCUCGCGAGAGCAAGCGGAACUCAUAAAGUCUGUCGUAGUCCGGAUUGGAGUCUGCAACUCGACUCCAUGAAGUCGGAAUCGCUAGUAAUCGUAGAUCAGAAUGCUACGGUGAAUACGUUCCCGGGCCUUGUACACACCGCCCGU
rnacentral:rRNA from 1 species